CCCAGGCCAGACUCAACUCACAGCGAGGGACGUGCCCUGUCCGCCCCUUGUGGGAAGGGGCAGUCCCCGAGACGGGCGGUGACCUCCGCCCCGAUUUGGGGAACCCCCAAGAGCGUCUGACCAAGGCUCAGCGGUAGAAUAAAGAAGAGAGCUCACAGACUUGAACUGACAAGACAUCAAGAGAAAAAGCUGUAAACAUAUUGAGGUGAAGAGGAUGUUGGAAAACAAUCCCAAAUACAGGUCUGAAGACUCAUCCCAGUGAUAGUGAUGGCCUCCAAAAGCAUCCUCCACGGUAAAAUCCAACAAGCUGAAAACUUUAAUCAACAAUGAUUCCAAGUAAGUACAUUCCCCCGGUUCAAUGGCUCUCCAAUCUGGUCCAUGAGACCUCCCCAGGGGUCGUGGAGAAGUUUUCAAAGGAUCUGUGUGUUCAAACCGAUUCUAAUAAUAAUACUAAGACAUUAUUUGCCUUUUUCAUGUUGCUAACAUUUGUAUUGAUGAUUCUAAACAAAUGGUGGCUAAAGCUGCUGUCACUUUCACACGAAUCAAGACAGUGACACCAAAUGGAAGUGGCAGUCAUUGUAUUCAAGCCAC